AGGCUAUACGCUAACAUUAAAUCGGUCAUUGUCAGGGUUUGAGCUUCAACCAGGCAGUAAGCUAUACAAAAGGCUCAGGAUGGUCAAUUCAGGUGCUGAGCUUCAAACGGGAAGAAAGGCUAUACGCUAACAUUAAAUCGGUCAUUGUCAGGGUUUGAG